rnacentral:rRNA from 1 species
AAUGAACGCUGGCGGCGCGCCUAAUACAUGCAAGUCGAGCGAGAAGACGUAGCAAUACGUUUGUAAAGCGGCGAACGGGUGAGGAAUACAUGGGUAACCUACCCUCGAGUGGGGAAUAACUAGCCGAAAGGUUAGCUAAUACCGCGUACGCUUCUUGGACUUCGGUUCAGGGAGGAAAGCGAUGCCGAGGGUAUCGCGCUCUUGGAUGGGCUCAUGUCCUAUCAGCUUGUUGGNGAGGUAACGGCUCACCAAGGCUUCGACGGGUAGCUGGUCUGAGAGGACGAUCAGCCACACUGGCACUGCGACACGGGCCAGACUCCUACGGGAGGCAGCAGUAAGGAAUAUUGCGCAAUGGGCGAAAGCCUGACGCGGCGACGCCGCGUGGGGGA